CCCAAGCUCUUUUCACAAUGAUAAAACAGGGAAGUCUUGUUGUUCAGUGUUUUAAUUCUUCAAAAUUUUAGGUCAUGAAAUGAUCUACUGCCUACAAGUAGUGACACAUUCAGAGGGUUUGUUGGGGAUGGAACUUGGAGGGAGGAUGAUCUGUCUGCUGUUUGGGAAGAUGUAAGUAGAAGCAGGAGAAGGGCUGCUUGGCAGACAAGGCAAAGAGAAGCUCGGGCAGCACAACUGGCAGCUGAGGGUGGGGCGUUGUCUGAUUGCAGCUCAGAGGAAGUUUUGUAAUAUAAGGUAGGUUGGUUGCAAUGGGGACUUUUCGACUAGCAAAGAGUAUGCUGAGUUGCCUGCUACGCUGGGUCGUGACUUUCGUGAGUCCUGGGAUUCCUGAACUUCAUGGAUCCUUUUGGGACGUUGCUACUGUUCCGGCUGGGACCUUGGAUCACUUCUGGACAUCGCUUUCGCUCACUGGCCCUGACCUUGGACUGGACGUUUGAGGCUGUUGCUGUAAUCUGUUUGCUGUGGAUGACUCCUGGACCAGCUUGACUAUGACCUUGUUACAUCCUGGAACGGGUUUGCUGAAACUUGGACUUUCCUUCCUGUUAAGGUCAGCAAACAUUUUGGACACUGAUCAAUUUUGGAUAAAACAUUCCUUCCAACAGUCAGUGGGACUUUUCUAACAAACCACAUGUGAUCACGCUUCAUCGGCACCAUUUUUCAAUGCCUUACAUUUUGACUAUUUAAAAUUACUAUACAGUAUAGUAUAUUCCACACAUGGUCACCUAUUUGGACCAUGUGUCAAAAAAUGGGUUCUCACUAUGUAUAAUAUAAAAGAAUGGAAAGAA